UGUAAGCGUAUACCAAAGUUGUUGCAGUUAAAACGCUCGUAGUCGGAAUUUGGCAGUUCCGGAUGUGUGCACGUCGUGUGCGCACUUCGCGGGGAUUGCUUUUGUGGUCUUGCGUAGGAUGAUGCACUUUUAUUAGUGAACGUCCUCACGCAACCACUUUUUACUGUGAGAAAAUCAGAGUGCUCAAAGCAGGCAUUUGCCGUGAAUGUAUUAGCAUGGAAUAAUAGAAUAGGACUUGGUUCUAUUUUGUUGGUUUGUUGGGACUGAGUAAUGAUUAAGAGGGACAGUUGGGGGCAUUUGUAUUUCGGUGCUAGAGGUGAAAUUCUUAGAUUACCGAAAGACAAACUGCUGCGAAAGCGUCUGCCAAGGAUGUUUUCAUUGA
rnacentral:rRNA from 1 species